CCUACGGGAGGCAGCAGUGGGGAAUAUUGCGCAAUGGGCGAAAGCCUGACGCAGCGACGCCGCGUGAGGGAUGAAGGUCUUCGGAUCGUAAACCUCUGUCAGCAGGGAAGAACGGUCACUGUGCUAAUCAGCAGUGAAUUGACGGUACCUGCAAAGGAAGCACCGGCUAACUCCGGGCCAGCAGCCGCGGUAAUACGGAGGGUGCGGGCGUUAAUCGGAAUUACUGGGCGUAAGGCGCUCGUAGACGGUAUGUCAAGUCAAGGGUGAAAUCCCCGCGCUCAACGUGGGAACUGCCUUUGAAACGGGGAAACUGGAGUGUGUGAGAGGAUAGUGGAAUUCCAGGUGUAGGGGUGAAAUGCGUAGAUAUCUGGAGGAACAUCAGUGGCGAAGGCGACUAUCUGGAACAUAACUGACGCUGAGGAGCGAAAGCGUGGGUAGCAAACAGGAUUAGAUACCCGAGUAGUC
rnacentral:rRNA from 1 species